rnacentral:rRNA from 1 species
UACGGGGGGGGGCAAGCGUUGUUCGGAAUUACUGGGCGUAAAGGGCUCGUAGGCGGCCAACUAAGUCAGACGUGAAAUCCCUCGGCUUAACCGGGGAACUGCGUCUGAUACUGGAUGGCUAGAGGUUGGGAGAGGGAUGCGGAAUUCCAGGUGUAGCGGUGAAAUGCGUAGAUAUCUGGAGGAACACCGGUGGCGAAGGCGGCAUCCUGGACCAAUUCUGACGCUGAGGAGCGAAAGCCAGGGGAGCAAACGGGG